GAAAUUGAUCGAGGUUGAUUGGUAUAGACUCGUUAGAGGACGAUUUACACUUUCAGGAAGGAUUCGUGAACCAAGAGGGACUAUAGAAGGAGAUUGAGCUUGGAAAUGUAAGGUUUGAUGAAGAAACCAAAAUAGAAGUCUGCAAUGUGAGAAUUGAUGAUGGGAAAAGACACAUCUACGUGAAGAUCUGAUAUUGUCUUCUCCUUGAUGAUGUUGAACGCCACAUUUUUUGAUAGCGUCAACCGAAUCAACCCUGAGGCCUGCUGAUCCUUGAGCUUCUACUGCUCCGUGUUCAUUGUAUCCGAAUUCACCUCCUACAGGGGUUUGUGAAGAUCUUUCUCGUACAUAUAAUCUUCAAUCUGCAUCGUCCAAAAAUCAAAAUCGGAUCCAUCAAACUUCUCAAUUCCAACAUUUGAGCUUUCGAUCUUCACAGAUGAUGAUGAAUCUCGCCUAAAUUUGAUACUAGUUCAUAGGAUCACACAAUAACACAACACACCAUCUAGAUGAUCACAAAGAACAGGAGAGAGAAAAUGAGAGGAGGA